rnacentral:rRNA from 1 species
GAUGAACGCUGGCGGCGUGCCUAAUACAUGCAAGUCGAGUGAACGGACGAGAAGCUUGCUUCUCUGACGUUAGCGGCGGACGGGUGAGUAACACGUGGAUAACCUACCUAUAAGACUGGGAUAACUUCGGGAAACCGGAGCUAAUACCGGAUAAUAUUUUGAACCGCAUGGUUCAAAAGUGAAAGACGGUCUUGCUGUCACUUAUAGAUGGAUCCGCGCUGCAUUAGCUAGUUGGUAAGGUAACGGCUUACCAAGGCAACGAUGCAUAGCCGACCUGAGAGGGUGAUCGGCCACACUGGAACUGAGACACGGUCCAGACUCCUACGGGAGGCAGCAGUAGGGAAUCUUCCGCAAUGGGCGAAAGCCUGACGGAGCAACGCCGCGUGAGUGAUGAAGGUCUUCGGAUCGUAAAACUCUGUUAUUAGGGAAGAACAUAUGUGUAAGUAACUGUGCACAUCUUGACGGUACCUAAUCAGAAAGCCACGGCUAACUACGUG